rnacentral:lncRNA from 1 species
GAAGAAAUCAUCAAUGGUGAGUUGGACUGCAACGACCCGACCCGCUAGCAACAAUAACUCGUUGGGUCAAACCACCGGCCCAAAAUGCUUAAGUCCAGUUAUUAUUACUAGCACGUAGGCCUCAUAUAAACUGAUCGAAAUCAGUAUCCCAUCAAAUGUGGGACUAUUGGGGGUGUUACAAACUCCCCCUGUUUAGACCCUGACGUCCUCGUCGGGUCCAAACCAGAUCACAGACAGACAGGCCAGGAUCGAAAUUACCAGGCGAUGUGAAUUCUAGAGGUGGCUCCUACGGGUUCAAGAGGUGGCUCCCACCAAAUCCGUUGGUGUAGCACUUUGUCCCGCAUAGCACUUAGCUCUCACACUUCCGGCUGGUAUUCGUCUCUAAUACCAAUUGGAACGACCCGACCCGCUAGCAACAAUAACUCGUUGGGCCAAACCACCGGCCCAAAAUGCUUAAGCCUAGUUAUUAUUACUAGCGCGUAAGCCUCAUAUAAAUUGAUCGAAAUCAGUAUCCCAUCCAAUGUGGGACUAUUGGGGGUGUUACAUGGACCGUAAAUGAACUGAAGAAUUAAGGUAAUUAAUG